CCAUUGCUCAGUUGGUAGAGCACAAGACUCUUAACCUUGUGGACGUGGGUUCAAGCCCCAUGGUGGG
rfam:Triticum urartu cultivar G1812 contig388046, whole genome shotgun sequence.